GGCUACAGAACGAACGCUGGCGGCAGGCUUAACACAUGCAAGUCGAACGCGUGUAGCAAUACACGAGUGGCGCAUGGGUGAGUAACGCGUGGAUAUCUGCCUUUUGGUUCGGAAUAACUCCGGGAAACUGGAGCUAAUACCGGAUGGUUCCUACGGGAUAAAGAUUUAUCGCCAAAAGAUGAGUCCGCGUACGAUUAGCUAGUUGGUGAGGUAAUGGCUCACCAAGGCGACGAUCGUUAGCUGGUCUGAGAGGACGAUCAGCCACACUGGGACUGAGACACGGCCCAGACUCCUACGGGAGGCAGCAGUGGGGAAUAUUGGACAAUGGGGGCAACCCUGAUCCAGCCAUGCCGCGUGAGUGAUGAAGGCCUUCGGUUGUAAAGCUCUUUUGGCGGGGACGAUGAUGACGGUACCCGCAGAAUAAGCCCCGGCUAACUUCGUG
rnacentral:rRNA from 1 species